GACGAACGCUGGCGGCGUGCUUAACACAUGCAAGUCGAACGGAAAGGCCCUGCUUUUGUGGGGUGCUCGAGUGGCGAACGGGUGAGUAACACGUGAGUAACCUGCCCUUGUCUUUGGGAUAACUUCAGGAAACUGGGGCUAAUACCGGAUAGGAGCUCCUGCUGCAUGGUGGGGGUUGGAAAGUUUCGGCGGUUGGGGAUGGACUCGCGGCUUAUCAGCUUGUUGGUGGGGUAGUGGCUUACCAAGGCUUUGACGGGUAGCCGGCCUGAGAGGGUGACCGGCCACAUUGGGACUGAGAUACGGCCCAGACUCCUACGGGAGGCAGCAGUGGGGAAUAUUGCACAAUGGGCGGAAGCCUGAUGCAGCAACGCCGCGUGCGGGAUGACGGCCUUCGGGUUGUAAACCGCUUUCGCCUGUGACGAAGCGUGAGUGACGGUAAUGGGUAAAGAAGCACCGGCUAACUACGUA
rnacentral:rRNA from 1 species